rnacentral:lncRNA from 1 species
GGCCUAAACUGAUGCAGCACGGAUUUAAUGAUGCUAUUGCAAAAGUAGGUCUGCAAAAGUUUGUUACGGACCUUUUCUUAGUUGGACUGUUCUACCAUCUGUAUAACCAGGUAACCGGUUCCUCCAUAUCAUGCAAAUCAUAGAGACACUUCUUAUGUGAAUGAUCUGUCAUUGGUUUUUGAGCUGGCUCUUCACACAAAGUCAUAAUAUUGCACUUUAUUUUAUUUCCUGGGCGAUACAAUCAGCACUUGCUGGUCUACAACUACUUGGUUAUGAUGUUAUGUUACCAAAUAGACGUGCAAUUUUAUGAACUUAACUGUCUUUCAUACGUUAUUAGUAAUCCGAUUGUGGGUUCAUUGCAUGACAGGUUGCUACAAAUACUUUGGAGCGAGUGGCUCCUCUGACACACGCUGUUGGCAAUGUGUUGAAACGUGUGUUUGUCAUUGGUUUUUCAAUCAUUGUUUUUGGUAAGUGAACAGUUCUUCUUUUCCAUGUAAUGAACAGUGCAUAUAUGUCUUCCUGUUGCCCCGUUCUGUCUGACGUGCUUAAGCCUAUCUAACAAUUGCUAAACGCUGCACUGAGCAGGCAACAGAAUCACGACACAAACUGGUAUUGGCACAUCCAUUGCCAUAGCUGGUGUGGCCAUGUACUCUUACAUCAAGGCUAAGAUUGAAGAGGAGAAAAGGGUAAGUUUUUAUUUAUAGCAGUUAUCACUAGGUCUCCUGAAACCUGAAUAUCAGUGGAGACACACAUCAUUGCUGACUACUGGUGUCAUCUUUCUGUUUUCUUAAAUCCAGAAAAAGAAGAGCGCGUGAUGAGGUGAAUACUGUUAAUAUGGUCUCGGGUGGCUGAGUUGUACUUCCUGAGACAACAUCGUCGACAAUCAUGACUUCCUUGUUUUGUUUUCACCUUGAGUCAUUUGGUCAAUUGUUUGUUCCCAACCUGGUGUUGAACAACAGCGCAUUGCAAGAUGGUAAGAAGAGCAAUCUACUUCUUACCAUCAGAACAGAUGAUCGUGGCGUGAGCAUGAAUAUGUAGAAAAUAAACGCUCAUA